AUGGAGGCAGCAGUGAGGAAUAUUGCGCAAUGGAGGGAACUCUGACGCAGCAACGCCGCGUGAAGGAUGAAGGUUUUCGGAUUGUAAACUUCUUUGACGGGGGACGAACAAUGACGGUACCCCGAAAACAAGCCACGGCUAACUACGUGCCAGCAGCCGCGGUAAUACGUAGGUGGCGAGCGUUGUCCGGAAUUACUGGGUGUAAAGGGCGUGCAGGCGGGGACUUAAGUCAGAUGUGAAAUACCCAGGCUUAACUUGGGGGCUGCAUCUGAAACUAAGUUUCUUGAGUGCCGGAGAGGAAAGCGGAAUUCCCAGUGUAGCGGUGAAAUGCGUAGAUAUUGGGAGGAACACCAGUGGCGAAGGCGGCUUUCUGGACGAUAACUGACGCUGAGGCGCGAAAGCGUGGGGAGCAAACAGGAUUAGAUACCCUGGUAGU
rnacentral:rRNA from 1 species